UCUGUCUCUCCAUACUAAAAAGGUAUGUAAACAAAAAAUCUAAAAACCACAAUAAUAUUGGGUCUCUGUCAAUGGAAUUGAAUUUACUGAGAAGAGCAGUGGUCAGCUCACCGGUCUAUCACAACAUUUAUAAAAACACAUUUAAAGCUUAAACUCCAUAUGACCCACUUUCUCUCUCCCUCUAUCUCUCAAGCUACUACUAU